rnacentral:rRNA from 1 species
UGGGGAAUAUUGGACAAUGGGCGAAAGCCUGACGCAGCGAUACCACGUGGGUGAAGAAGGCCUUCGGGUCGUAAAGCCCUGUCAGGGGGAAAGAUUAUGACGGUACCCCCUAAGGAAGCCACGGCUAAUUACGUGCCAGCAGCCGCGGUAAUACGUAAGUGGCGAGCGUUAUCCGGAAUCACUGGGCGUAAAGAGUGCGUAGGCGGUUGGGUAAGUUAGAUUUGAAAGCCCGGGGCUCAACUCCGGAUCCGGAUCUAAAACUGCCCGACUGGAGCGAAUCAGAGGACAACGGAAUUCCCGGUGUAGCGGUAAUAUGCGUAGAUAUCGGGAGGAACACCAGUGGCGAAGGCGGUUGUCUGGGGUUUUGCUGACGCUGAGGCACGAAAGCCAGGGGAGCGAACGGGAUUAGAUACCCGUGUAGUCCCUGAGCGGGCUGGCAAGGCGCAU